rnacentral:rRNA from 1 species
AAGUCGUAACAAGGUUUCCGUAGGUGAACCUGCGGAAGGAUCAUUACGAGGCUCGGCGGCGACCCUUCACCGGGUCGCUCCAUCCGCCCCUCCCUGUGCCUACCCUCCUCUGUUGCUUGGGACGGGGUCCAGUGACCGAGACACACCCCUGGCGCAAGGGCGACCGCGGCGGAUCCGCCGCGCGCCGCGCCGCUGCUCCCGGGCCUGUCCGGACACUGCGACGCAUCCUGUCCCGAAGGGCCGGCUACGGCCGGCUGGUCAACCCCGAGAACACAUGCUGUCCGAGCGAUGAAGAUAACAAGCAAAACUUUCAACAACGGAUCUCUUGGUUCCGGCAUCGAUGAAGAACGCAGCGAAAUGCGAUAAGUAAUGUGGACCGCAGUACUCAGCGACUCAUCGAAUCUUUGAACGCACAUUGCGCCCCCUGGCAUCCCGGGGGGCACACCUGUUCGAGCGUCAUUUCUCCCCCUUCAAGCGCAGCUUGGUCUUGGGCCGGUGUCCCCCGGGACAGGUCCGAAAGGCAGUGGCGGUCCUGCGGGACUUCAGGCGCAGCAGCAACCCUCGUCUUUGCAAGCCCCCGCUCCGGGUCCGGCCAGGUAACCUGCCAUCCUUCGGGAUGGAUCGAUCGAUUGACCUCGGAUCAGGUGAGGAUACCCGCUGAAUUUAAGCAUAUUAAUAAGCGGAGGAAAAGAAACCAACAGGGAUUGCCUCAGUAGCGGCGAGUGAAGCGGCAGCAGCUCACAUUUGAAAUCUGACCCCGACGGGGCCCGAGUUGUAAUCUGCAGAGGGUGUUUCGGGGGCGGUCUCGGUCUAGGUCCCUUGGAACAGGGCGUCAUAGAGGGUGAGAACCCCGUCUGCGAUCGGUGACCGCGCCUGUGUGAAACCCCUUCGACGAGUCGAGUUGUUUGGGAAUGCAGCUCCAAAUGGGUGGUAAAUUUCAUCUAAAGCUAAAUAUUGGCCGGAGACCGAUAGCGCACAAGUAGAGUGAUCGAAAGAUGAAAAGCACUUUGGAAAGAGAGUCAAACAGUACGUGAAAUUGUUGAAAGGGAAGCGCUUGCGGCCAGACCCUGCGGGUGGCCGAUCACCCGGUCCUGCGACCGGUGCACUCGUCCAUCAGCAGGCCAGCAUCGGUUUGGGCGGCGGGACAAAAGCGGCGGGAACGUAGCUCCCUCCGGGGAGACCUUAUAGCCCGGUGUGCCAUGCCGCCAGUCCAGACCGAGGACCGCGCUACGGCUAGGAUGCUGGCGUAAUGGCCGCAAGCGACC